CCAUCUUCACUCCGCUCCUUGGGGUCGCCGCCGACGGCGGGGUAGGGCCUCCUCGUUCCCGGUCAAGCCACUUAUUAAUGGCGAUCGCCGUUUGCCCCCCUCCCCGUGCAGUGGAGGACAGCAUGCCGGGACGACAGAAGCAGUCCACCCAACUCCCUCCUCCCGCUGUGGUUCAGCCUACCACAAUAAAAAUCAGCAGGUGGUGGGCAUUCCGGCGGCCUCUUCCGCUGGAAUUCAAUGCGGAAGUGCCGCGCCGGUAGGCCUCCCAAGUCCUCUCUUGUAUAGUGUUGGGUCAGAGAGGCGCUGCCCCCUGUUGGCCAUCUAAAAAGAAGGCGGCUUUCCAAUGGUGCAACCGAUCUACCCCCGGUGUUGUUUUCUCUUCUCAUCUCCCGGUAAGUUCAUCGCCGAUAGGGAAGAAGCUGAGAAACCGGCACAGACAUUCCCUUCCGGCCGGAGCCCGCGUCAUUUCGUCUGUCCUUUCAUGGUGGGUGCCCAAUAGCCGAUCGGUGAUAAGCCCUUUUGGUGUCCCCACUCCAAUCGAAGGUCUUGGAUUCUGUUUGUCGUGAACUCCAAUUGCUUUAGACGAAUUAUUCCGGUAGUCUUCCGGCCUCCGGGAGGAAGCUUCCCCCGUUCGCCGCCGGAGGAGCUCACCGUACCUUACCGUCCAACUUUGGGGUCCCUUGGCCCACCCUUCUUUGAGAAUCUAACUAUGUACGUGAGUGCAUGGCGAGUGUCCUUCGACGACGUUCGAUCUGCCGG
rnacentral:lncRNA from 1 species